rnacentral:lncRNA from 10 species
GGAGUGGCAGCUCUGAGACCUGAAGCCUCAGAACCAGCUCUCCUCCUCCUCUUCCUCCUCAAGAUGGACCUCAACUCACUGAACUCUGGUUCACUCUUUUGGUCCCAGAGCUAAUUCUUUGGUUGUUUAAGGUUUAGCAUAGGAGACCCCAAAGCAGCAAGGUUCUGGCCCUGGUUCUGCCACUUGCCAGCUCCACGCCCUCAGAUCAGUGGCUUCAGAGCCUCAACGUGCUCAGCUGUGAAACAGGGACAGGGUGAGGCCUUCCCAGGUAUGAUCCACUGUGCCCAUCCUGGAUGCAGACUUUAAGCAGAGUCACAUCAACAAGAAGAGCUGUGAAGGUCAGGGCAUGACCCACAGAUGCCCAAACACUGCACUGGAGGUCCAGGAAGAUUCUGCUGACAACGCAACCCUGAGCCAAGAUCUGAAGGAUAAGAGGGAGCUUAUAACAUGGAAGAAGGAACAGUAUUCCUGGCAAGUGGAACAGCAUGUGCAAAGGUCAGGUGGUAAGAGGGGCUUCAAGGACAGUCCUAUGGCUGGAGCAGAGUGAUUGAGGGCAUGUGAAAUGAGAGGUGGCCAGGGUGGCAGGCAGGGACUAGCCCAAUGGCCGUGAAAGGGAUGGGACUUUGGUCACUGUUUCGCAUUUCCAGAUGUUUACUAUGUGCCAGGCUUGGUACUAAAUGCUUUUCUGGAAUAUCUCACUAGAUUCUCACAUAGAUGAAGGGCUUGAUCUUAGAGAGGUUAGAUCCCUCAGCCGAGAGCCCACAGUGAGGAAGCCAUGGGGCCUGUGUCCCUGACUGCAAGACCUGUGCUCAGAACGGCCAGGCCACACAGACCUCAACUCUCACUACAACCUCCUGAAGUCGGUGUGGUUACUCUUCCCACUUUACAGAUGAGGACAUGGGCCCAGAGAGGUUAUGUGAGUGACACAGCUUGAAGGUGGAGUUAAGCCUGGGCAGUCUGGCUUCAGAGUGUCCACAGUCUCAACCACUGCCUCACAUGGCUUCUUAGAAAAUAUUAUAAAAAGAAGCUCGGGCUGCCAUGUGGAAAAGAAUGGAGAGGGGACAAUGACACAGCUGGGAGCAUGCUGUGAUGGUGUACAGCGGACACAUUCAGGAUGAGGUGAAACAGGCUGGCCCUGGUGAGAGGCUAGAUGGGGCUGGGAUGAGGGUGGAGACAAGUAGUCUUGGGGUUGGCUUGGUGCAGCUGGGGGGUGCGGGGAGUGUCUCUGAGGUGAGGCCGGGGGUAUGGGAACGCCAUGUUUGGUCUGGGACACGGUGGGCUUGGGAUGGCUACAGGACAGUGCAGUGGAGAGUCAAAAAGGCUGCUCGGACCCAGGUCUGGCGAGAUGGAAGCUGGAGGUCAGGUGAGCUGUCUAGGAGAGGGACAGAGUGGGAAGGAGAGGGUCUCGACUCGGCUUUCUUGCCAAAGGAGGGUUCCGAAAUGAGAAACUGUGGAAUCUAAGCUGGAGAGGAAGAAAGACGGAGAAUGAGUGAACGCACACGUGUGGGACAGAUAGAUGAAUAUUCAUGUCUUUGGCUCCUAUGUACCUGAGUCUUCUAAAGCUGCAGGCCAUACUACCCCCGGGAGGCUGCAGGGAUGCCAGCUGGGAGAUGAAUGCAACUCUGCUGCCUGGGCAUGGGCCUGAGUGAGGGUGCAGACCCCUGCCUGUGAUCAUCAGGGAGGGUGAUGAGAACAAGGUGGCUGACAGGGUGAGGCCCAAGCCUGGAGCUUACCCAGGUGCGGGGAUGGGAGGGUCAGAGACCUUUGGGGGGUCUUAGGGAGCUUCCCCAGCCCUAAAGGCACCGCAAGCUGCCACUUCACACUGACCUGGGCAUACGCAGCUGCAGGAUCCCUUGCUCGCUCUCUCACAAGCAAAUGUAGACUGCGCAACCAUCCUGACCACAGAUCCAGAAAGCCCAGGACAUAACAGAGCCGCAGUGCCUGCCCUGAUCCACGCGCACACAGAUCUAGCCCAGGAACAAGCCCAUCCACGGAGUGAGCAGCUGACAGGGGAGCCACGAACAGCCUGGAGAGCUGAGCAUGGGCCUGCUCCACACUCCAGCGGGGCCCGAGGCCCCCGGGAACUCUACCCCUCCUGGCAGCCUCACAGAACCUGCUGCAUCCAUCUCAAAAGGCAUACCUCCUCCAGGAAGCCUUCCCCGCUGCUCAGAGGUCUUAAAUCCGGGGUCUGCACUCACAAACUGUGCAGCCUACACCAGCUUCUGGGGGACAGCAGAACACUGUGGGGGGCCUGGCACAGUCCCUGGCACACGGUAGGCACUCAUCGAGCCCCUGCCAGCCCCUCUACUCCUGACUUCUGAGGCAACAGGAAAUGACCCGCCACCUUGUUCUCACAGAGCCUCCCUGCCAGCCCAGAUGGUCACAAGGGCCUCCUGGGAUGCUGCCCACCUUGGCAGCCAGGCCCCUCCGGAGGGGCCAGUCUGGGCCUGACACCCCCGAACACCAACCCCCUGGGCAGAGCCUGCCUGUGCCUGGGUGAGGAACCCUGCAGUCUCCUUGCCACACAAGGCCUGGGUCUGCCUUGGGGCCCAGGCUGCACCCUCUCCGACCCCCAGGCCCAAUGUCUGACCUGUGCCCACCUGACUCAACCUGGCUACUGUUCAGCAAGUUUACAAAGUGUUCUCAGUCUGAACAGGAACCGUUUUCAAUCCUUUAUUUCAGAAAGGAGAGCCAGGAGAACUGGGGACUUAGAAAAUACAGAUCCUAAACUCAAAAGUCCCUGC